CCACCUCAGACUCCAACAUAGCUGGGACUACAGGUACUGCAUGGAGGGUCUCGAGAGAGGCAUGGCAGUGGAGCGUAAGAACCAAUGAGGCGCAGUUUCCACCGUGAGCCUGGUCCAACUUUCUGGAAUACCAAAAUAAGAAAAGCAGACGAGUUCAAAGAAAUGUAUUCCGUUGAUAUGACAGAUGGAGUUUCGCUCUUGUCACCCGUGCUGG